CGGUCUGAUCAAGCGUCUCUAAGGCAUUU
rnacentral:rRNA from 3 species